rnacentral:rRNA from 1 species
UACGGAGGGGGCGAGCGUUAUUCGGAAUUAUUGGGCGUAAAGAGCUCGUAGGCGGUUUGUCGCGUCUGCUGUGAAAUCCCGAGGCUCAACCUCGGGCUUGCAGUGGGUACGGGCAGACUAGAGUGCGGUAGGGAGACUGGAAUUCCUGGUGUAGCGGUGGAAUGCGCAGAUAUCAGGAGGAACACCGGUGGCGAAGGCGGGUCUCUGGGC